GACAAGAUGGACACGGCAGCUAUCAAAGAGGAGCUGAGAAUUAAAAGCCAACUCCAGACCACUGCUUGUCCUGAUUUAUGAGGGACUGAUGAGGAGUUGGUAAGGAGAGGAAUCAGAACAGGAGUGCCUGCCCCCCGCCCCAAACACAUUAUCAGCUUUUGUAUGCAGUGCCAGUUCUGCUCUUUUGUCUGUUCAAGCCAAGAAGUACUCUUAAGACAUCACCAGCUACGACAUAGAAGAGGAUUUCAUUUGCCCUGUGUUUACAGUGACUGCGUCUGUUCGUUCAGGACACGAGGGGCAUUGAAGUCUCACCUCAGCAGAUCACACAACAGGGCUAAGAAAAGGCAGGAG